GGAUUGUGGCUCAGUGGCAGAGCUGCUUGCCUCGGAAGUAUGAGGCACUGGGUUCGAUCCUCAGCACCA
rnacentral:tRNA from 1 species